rnacentral:rRNA from 1 species
UAUUGGUCAAUGGGCGCGAGCCUGAACCAGCCAAGUCGCGUGAGGGAAGACGGUCCUACGGAUUGUAAACCUCUUUUGCCGGGGAGCAAGCGCUUGUUCGUGAACGGGCGUCUAGAGUACCCGGAGAAAAAGCAUCGGCUAACUCCGGUCCAGCAGCCGCGGUAAUACGGAGGAUGCGAGCGUUAUCCGGAUUUAUGGGGUUUAAAGGGUGCGUAGGCGGGAUGCCAAGUCAGCGGUAAAAAUGCGGUGCUCAACGCCGUCGAGCCGUUGAAACUGGCGGUCUUGAGUGGGCGAGAAGUAUGCGGAAUGCGUGGUGUAGCGGUGAAAUGCAUAGAUAUCACGCAGAACUCCGAUUGCGAAGGCAGCAUACCGGCGCCCUACUGACGCUGAGGCACGAAAGCGUGGGUAUCGAACAGG